GUCAGCACCCCGCACUAAAGUGACGGGGCUUCAUGCCUCUAACUUUAGUUAGUUGACCAGCCUAAGUCUUAACUGACUCCGUUAUCGGUAAGCGUUAAAGUUCUUACCUUGGGAUGCGUAGCUAGUCCCAAGCUCUAAAACUCGAAAGUUAAACAGUUUUACGAGGGGUAAGACAGUGCUUUCAAGAUAGUACCGACCGAUAACAUUGGCGAAGCUAACAUUAC
rfam:Planktothrix serta PCC 8927 isolate BBR_PRJEB10992 genome assembly, scaffold: BBR_A_PL8927_scaffold52